rnacentral:rRNA from 1 species
GAUGAACGCUGGCGGCGUGCCUAAUACAUGCAAGUCGAGCGAACAGAUAAGGAGCUUGCUCCUUUGACGUUAGCGGCGGACGGGUGAGUAACACGUGGGUAACCUACCUAUAAGACUGGGAUAACUUCGGGAAACCGGAGCUAAUACCGGAUAACAUUUGGAACCGCAUGGUUCUAAAGUGAAAGAUGGUUUUGCUAUCACUUAUAGAUGGACCCGCGCCGUAUUAGCUAGUUGGUAAGGUAACGGCUUACCAAGGCAACGAUACGUAGCCGACCUGAGAGGAUGAUCAGCCACACUGGAACUGAGACACGGUCCAGACUCCUACGGGAGGCAGCAGUGGGGAAUAUUGGACAAUGGGCGAAAGCCUGACGCAGCCAUGCCGCGUGAGUGAUGAAGGUCUUCGGAUUGUAAAGCACUUUUAGUUGGGAAGAAGGGCAGUAAGUUAAUACCUUGAUGUUUUGACGUUACCAACAGAGAAAGCACCGGCUAACUUCGUG